UGCCAAGAACGUGAACCUGAAGGGGAGCGAGGCCUGACUGCACCGUGCCAUCCCCGACUCCAGAAAGGUGUCCGGCGAGUAGUAGGUACUCCGUGGCUGUGAGCAGACAGAGCAAAAGGAGAGCCGGCAGCUGCCGCCCGAGUUGGACGCGGUUCUCGGCCCACAGUCAGCUGCUGUCACCGACAGGCGGAACAGCCCGGAACUGGAAGCUCUGCCCAUUGGGGUCCUCACGGGGCUCAGGAAAUGCUCCGCCCCAAGGACUCAGGGCCAAGCCAGCACAGAACUUGCCUAACACCCAGAGGGUCCAGGCCGGGCACCCUGGGGCCAAGCCUGCAGUGCAUAAAGGGUGGCGUCCAUGGAGCUCUGUCCUGGACUGGUCGCCUGAGCCGUGGAAUGUUCUGUUCUGCACCGUCCUCUUCUUGUGUUCUGUGGCCUCUCCCCUGCGCUCCUGAGCCCUUGAAAUGCAGCCAGGGCCCCUGAGCAGCAGAAGCACCAAGACAGCGUUAAGUUUAGUUUAGUUGAAACUGAAAUUGAGAUGACCGCCAUGUGGCUUCUGCUACUGUAUUAACCAGCUCAGCCGGGAAUUCCCUGACUGUUGUUUUUCGAUGCUGCAGGUCACACCCAGGGAUUAGGUGAGUGCCCUACCUCCCACUUCACCCCCAGACCUGGAGCCAGCAUUAACCACAGCCUUGAACCCUGAGAAGGGAAAGCAGAGGGAGUGCUGGCAGCUGGAAGUUUGCUGGGACUUCCAGCUGCCAGCAGGGAGGAAGCCUUCCAGGCAGAAGCAACUGCAAGUGCAAAGGUCCUGGGGUGAGUGGGGAACCCAAUAAAGACUAGUGUGGAAACUAGGGGAAGUCACCAGGGGCAGAGCUUCCUGCCGUGCGGUCACAAGAAGAACGGGGCUUCUGUCCUCCUGCCAGAUCUACCCCUUCCUUCCUCGAGAUGCCGG
rnacentral:lncRNA from 1 species